rnacentral:lncRNA from 1 species
AGGAGUAAAAGAUAAUUAAAAUUACCCGUUGAGCCGGCCGUGGCAUUGUUGUAAAUCCAACGACGAUUAAAAGCCAGAACGAUGGUGGCGACGACGGGUCAACGCGCGGCUCGUGAAUUCGACGCGCAUCAAUAGCCGACGAAGAUGCUACAGGAAGCAAUCGCUUCAGUUUUGUUUCUGUUUAGCCACCCGAUGAGUCGUUCGCUUCGCUUGUAUGACUCUGAUACACUCUCUCUCUCGCCUUCAAUUUUUGCUUACGAUUUGUCAUCUGUUCUUACAUAAUGAUAACCAAUGCUUACUUCUGAGACAAUGCAUUUUUAACUUUGGUCUUCAGAUCAAUGGCUUGAUUAAAAUGACAUCAAUGUUGUGCUAUUGUGUUAAAUGGGGUUAGUAUGAGUUUGUGGAAUGAUCUUUAACUCUUAAGGUUACAAGUGUUAAAGUGUAUGUUAAUUUUUAUGCUGAUUUAAUUGAAUGCAUAUGAAUUAUUUCCAGCCUUCAAAAUUAGCUGCUUGAGAAACUAGUAUAUACUAUUUUACUGAGGUAACGUAGGAGAAGGUGAAGAUGUUACAUUGCAGUUUUGAUGUUAAACAUUGCAGUUUUCCCCUUAAAAGUCUUAAUCUUUUGUAAUGCUUCUAACUAGGGACAUGACUCAAGUAACUUCUCCUACAAUCUCUUCGUUUUUGAUCUGUGGACCUUUACUUUUUCUAAUCUUGGACGUGUAUCUUCCUUUCCAGCGACUUUGGCGUGAUAGUCACCUUCAGACCGUGCUUCAUGUACAAGGUUGUAGUAACUCUGGGGACAACGACAUGAUCUUUAACAACCUUGAUUGAGUACCUCAACAAGAUUGAAGCAGCAACUGUCUUCAUCUGUAGGUAAGCAAAUGUUUUCCCUAAACACAGCCUUGGUCCAGCAUUAAACACAACGUAUUUGAAUUGGUCAUCACUCACAAAAUUCCCUGCUUGGAUCCACCUCUCUGGUUUAAAUGAUUCACAGUCUUUCCCCCAAAUGGAUUCCGUCCUUCCCAUGGUGUAAGUUGCAAAGUAAAUCCGUGAACCUUUACGUAUGAAAGUCCCAUCGGGGAAAACAUCAUCUUCAGUGGCUUGUUUCAUUUCCAUUGGAAUUGGA